rnacentral:rRNA from 1 species
AUGGCACCAGACAGCUCCACCGCCCUACGCUCGCCCAUCCAACCGCAUCCGUCGUCGAUAUGCAGCUGCACCAUGCCGGCCAAACUCGUCGUCAUCUAUUCGGUAGAUACAACGCCGCACCACCUGGCAACCUCCACACAAUCGCCACUGCUGGAGGUACUCGUAGCCCAUCAUCCACAACAUCUCUCCCCCGAACAGCAGGUCCUCCAAAGACGGCGCCUCCAUGAAGGAUACAACGCGCAGGACGUCGCCGCCACCAAAUCCAGACUGAAUUUUGGACUUUCGUCCGGGAGGGGUUCGGAGGUGGAUAGGAGAGACCUCGGCUUCGCCUCCACGGAGGGUAAUGGCAUCGAGUGA